AUUGAACGCUGGCGGCAGGCUUAACACAUGCAAGUCGAGCGGGGGAAGGUAGCUUGCUACUGGACCUAGCGGCGGACGGGUGAGUAAUGCUUAGGAAUCUGCCUAUUAGUGGGGGACAACAUCUCGAAAGGGAUGCUAAUACCGCAUACGUCCUACAGGAGAAAGCAGGGGAUCUUCGGACCUUGCGCUAAUAGAUGAGCCUAAGUCGGAUUAGCUAGUUGGUGGGGUAAAGGCCUACAAGGGCGACGAUCUGUAGCGGGUCUGAGAGGAUGAGCCGCGCCACUGGGACUGAGACACGACCCAGCCUCCGACGGGAGGCGGCAGUGGGGAAUAUUGGACAAUGGGGGGAACCCUGAUCCAGCCAUGCCGCGUGUGUGAAGAAGGCCUUAUGGUUGUAAAGCACUUUAAGCGAGGAGGAGGCUACUUUAGUUAAUACCUAGAGAUAGUGGACGUUACUCGCAGAAUAAGCACCGGCUAACUCUGUGCCAGCAGCCGCCGUAA
rnacentral:rRNA from 1 species